GCGUGCCUAAUACAUGCAAGUCGAGCGAGCUGAAUUCAAAGAUCCCUUCGGGGUGAUUUGUUGGAUGCUAGCGGCGGAUGGGUGAGUAACACGUGGGCAAUCUGCCCUAAAGACUGGGAUACCACUUGGAAACAGGUGCUAAUACCGGAUAACAACAUGAAUCGCAUGAUUCAAGUUUGAAAGGCGGCGUAAGCUGUCACUUUAGGAUGAGCCCGCGGCGCAUUAGCUAGUUGGUGGGGUAAAGGCCUACCAAGGCAAUGAUGCGUAGCCGAGUUGAGAGACUGAUCGGCCACAUUGGGACUGAGACACGGCCCAAACUCCUACGGGAGGCAGCAGUAGGGAAUCUUCCACAAUGGACGCAAGUCUGAUGGAGCAACGCCGCGUGAGUGAAGAAGGUUUUCGGAUCGUAAAGCUCUGUUGUUGGUGAAGAAGGAUAGAGGCAGUAACUGGUCUUUAUUUGACGGUAAUCAACCAGAAAGUCACGGCUAACUACGUGCCAGCAGCCGCGGUAAUACGUAGGUGGCAAGCGUUGUCCGGAUUUAUUGGGCGUAAAGCGAGCGCAGGCGGAAUGAUAAGUCUGAUGUGAAAGCCCACGGCUCAACCGUGGAACUGCAUCGGAAACUGUCAUUCUUGAGUGCAGAAGAGGAGAGUGGAAUUCCAUGUGUAGCGGUGGAAUGCGUAGAUAUAUGGAAGAACACCAGUGGCGA
rnacentral:rRNA from 1 species